GGAUUGUGGCUCAGUGGUAGAGUGUUUGCCUUGCACAUGUGAGACCCUGCGUUCGAUUUUCAGCACCA
rnacentral:tRNA from 1 species